GAAACUGCRAASGGCUCAUUAUAUCAKCAAUAAUUUAUUUGAUGGUUUCUUACKACAUGGAUACCCGUAGUAAUUCUAGAGCUAAUACAUGCAUCAACGCCCAAUCGGGCCGCGUUUAUUAGAUAGAAACCCAUAUUUUUGGUGAAUCAUAAUAACUGUGCGAAUCGCAUGGGUUUACCCCSGCGAUGAAUCAAUCAAGUUUCUGCCCUAUCAGCUUUCGAUGGUAGGGUAUUGGCCUACCAUGGSGUUAACGGGUAACGGAGAAUUAGGGUUCGAUUCCGGAGAGGGAGCCKGAGAAACGGCKACCACAUCCAAGGAAGGCAGCAGGCGCGUAAAUUACCCAAUCCUGACACAGGGAGGUAGUGACAAUAAAUAACAAUGCCGGGCUUUUUCAAGUCUGGCAAUUGGAAUGARAACAAUUUAAAUCCCUUAACGAGGAUCAAUUGGAGGGCAAGUCUGGUGCCAGCAGCCGCGGUAAUUCCAGCUCCAAUAGCGUAUAUUAAUGUUGUUGCAGUUAAAAAGCUCG
rnacentral:rRNA from 1 species